UAGUAAUGAAGAACCAUUUCCAAAGAAUUAAAGUAUAUUCCGCAUUAUUAGUUUUUUUAGUGAUUUGACAUGAAAGAUCUUGACAAUAAAGAAAUUUAGGUUUUCGAGAUCUAAAGUUUCUAAUUUUAUAAAGUUUGAAGUUUCAACAAGUAUUAUCAAAGCCUACUACAUAUUAAACCAUUGGGUUUAAAAGAAGAAUUUUGUGGUUGAAAUUCAUAUAUUGGGUUUUG
rnacentral:sRNA from 1 species